AUUGAACGCUGGCGGCAGGCUUAACACAUGCAAGUCGAGCGGGGAAGGGUAGCUUGCUACCUAACCUAGCGGCGGACGGGUGAGUAAUGCUUAGGAAUCUGCCAUUUAGUGGGGGGCAACAUUCCGAAAGGAAUGCUAAUACCGCAUACGUCCUACGGGAGAAAGCAGGGGAUCUUCGGACCUUGCGCUAAAUGAUGAGCCUAAGUCGGAUUAGCUAGUUGGUGGGGUAAAGGCCUACCAAGGCGACGAUCUGUAGCGGGUCUGAGAGGAUGAUCCGCCACACUGGGACUGAGACACGGCCCAGACUCCUACGGGAGGCAGCAGUGGGGAAUAUUGGACAAUGGGCGGAAGCCUGAUCCAGCUAUGCCGCGUGUGUGAAGAAGGCCUUAUGGUUGUAAAGCACUUUAAGCGAGGAGAAGGCUACUUAGAUUAAUACUCUAGGAUAGUGGACGUUACUCGCAGAAUAAGCACCGGCUAACUCUGUGCCAGCCGCCGCCGUAAAAC
rnacentral:rRNA from 1 species